AUGGCGUCGAGUCCCAGGAGAACAGUCGUGUGCUCGGUGCUGCCACUGCUGCUGCUGCUUGCCGGCGCGGCCCGCGCGGCGGGUAACUUCUACCAGGACGUGGACAUCACGUGGGGCGACGGGCGCGGCAAGAUCGGCGGCGGCGGCGACGUCCUGACGCUGUCCCUCGACAGGGCCUCCGGCUCCGGGUUCCAGUCCAAGAACCAGUACCUGUACGGCCGCUUCGACAUGCAGAUCAAGCUCGUCCCCGGCGACUCCGCCGGCACCGUCGCCACUUUCUACCUGUCGUCGCAGGGGUCGGCGCACGACGAGAUCGACUUCGAGUUCCUGGGGAACGCGAGCGGGCAGCCCUACACGGUGCACACCAACGUGUACAGCCAGGGCAAGGGCGGGCGGGAGCAGCAGUUCCGCAUGUGGUUCGACCCCACCGCCGACUUCCACACCUACUCCGUCGUCUGGAACCCCACGCACAUCCUGUUCUACGUGGACGGGACGCCGAUCCGGGAGCACCGGAACCGGGAGGCGGCGACGGGGGUGGCGUACCCGCGGAGCCAGGCGAUGCGGGUGUACGCCAGCGUGUGGGACGCGGAGGAGUGGGCGACGCAGGGCGGGCGGGUGAGGACGGACUGGUCGCGGGCGCCCUUCGUGGCGUCGUACAAGGGCUUCGCCGCGAGCGGGUGCGCGUCGCAGGACGCGGCGGCGUGCGCCAGGUCCAACGGCGCGUGGAUGUACCAGGAGCUGGACGCCACCGCGCUGGACCGACUCCAGUGGGUGCAGAAGAACUACAUGAUCUACAACUACUGCACGGACACCUGGAGGUUCAAGGACGGCGCUCCGCCCGAGUGCGCCACCAAGUAG
rnacentral:rRNA from 1 species